CUACGGGAGGCACCAGUGAGGAAUAUUGGUCAAUGGGCGCGAGCCUGAACCAGCCAUCCCGCGUGCAGGAUGACGGCCCUAUGGGUUGUAAACUGCUUUUCUAUGCCAAGAAACCUGAUUACGUGUAAUCAGUUGCCGGUAGCAUAGGAAUAAGCAUCGGCUAACUCCGUGCCAGCAGCCGCGGUAAUACGGAGGAUGCAAGCGUUAUCCGGAUUCAUUGGGUUUAAGGGUGCGCAGGUGGGCUUGUAAGUCAGGGGGGAAAUGCUGCCGCUUAACGGUAGAACUGCCAUUGAUACUGCGAGUCUUGAGUAUGGUUGAGGUAGGCGGAAUGUGUUGUGUAGCGGUGAAAUGCAUAGAUAUGACACAGAACGCCAAUUGCGAAGGCAGCUUACUAAGCCAUUACUGACGCUGAGGCACGAAAGCGUGGGGAGCGAACAGGAUUAGAUACCCUCGUAGUC
rnacentral:rRNA from 1 species